GACUCCAAAAGCCACAUGUCAAAACCCCGUAACUGCCAGAAUAAAGGGCUGUAACUCCUUUUUCUUGUAUUUCUCCUCUUCUUCUCCGCCCUCUCUCGAAACCGAUGACACGGCUUUCUUUCCAUUGAUAGAGAAUGACUUUUCUUUCCAUUGAAAAUCAGAGUAAGAGUACAAAUUUUCAACCGGUUUCAGGAAUCGCUCUCUACAUCAAAUCUCGGUUCUCUCGGUCAACAUUCUGAGCGCUAAUCUACCCAUUUGGGUUUUCUGAUUACAACUGCUUUUUGAAUGUGUUUAACUACUUCGGUGAAACACUUCACUUAUUCUCUUUUAUCAUGUUAAUUAAUUCCCUAUUCCCUCUUAUAUUUUGAUUAUUUAUACCUUUGUGACAGAGAUGUGGCCAAGGGCAAAACAAGGGCCUAUAACAGACACUCUUGGAACUUC